rnacentral:rRNA from 1 species
CCUACGGGGGGCAGCAGUGGGGAAUCUUGCGCAAUGGGCGAAAGCCUGACGCAGCGACGCCGCGUGAGUGAUGAAGGCCCUAGGGUUGUAAAGCUCUGUGGAGAGGGACGAAUAAGUCGUAGCUAAUACCUCCGGCGAUGACGGUACCUCUUUAGCAAGCACCGGCUAACUCUGUGCCAGCAGCCGCGGUAAGACAGAGGGUGCAAACGUUGUUCGGAAUUACUGGGCGUAAAGCGCGUGUAGGCGGCUGCGCAAGUCGGGUGUGAAAGCCCUGGGCUCAACCCAGGAAGUGCACUCGAAACUGCGUAGCUGGAGUCUCGGAGAGGGAGGCGGAAUUCUGGGUGUAGAGGUGAAAUUCGUAGAUAUCCAGAGGAACACCGGUGGCGAAGGCGGCCUCCUGGACGAGAACUGACGCUGAGACGCGAAAGCGUGGGGAGCAA